rnacentral:rRNA from 1 species
UACGUAGGUGACAAGCGUUGUCCGGAUUUACUGGGCGUAAAGAGCGCGCAGGCGGUCGUUCAAGUCGAGUGUGAAAGCCCCCGGCUCAACUGGGGAGGGUCACUCGAUACUGAUCGACUCGAAGGCAGGAGAGGGAAGUGGAAUUCCCGGCGUAGUGGUGAAAUGCGUAGAUAUCGGGAGGAACACCAGUGGCGAAGGCGACUUCCUGGCCUGUUCUUGACGCUGAGGCGCGAAAGCUAGGGGAGCAAACGGG